GGUGUGUUCAUGAUGGUCUGGCUUUAAACUCUGCCGAGAAGGCAGAUCUGAUAUCUUACACU
rfam:Takifugu rubripes chromosome, Chr_1